AGUGGCGGACGGGUGAGUAGUGCGUAGGAAUCUACCUAAUAGUGGGGGAUAACCUGGUGAAAACCAGACUAAUACCGCAUACGCCCUACGGGGGAAAGCGGGGGAUCUUCGGACCUCGCGCUAUUUGAUGAGCCUGCGUUAGAUUAGCUUGUUGGUGAGGUAAUGGCUCACCAAGGCGACGAUCUAUAGCUGGUCUGAAAGGAUGAUCAGCCACACUGGGACUGAGACACGGCCAGACUCCUACGGGAGGCAGCAGUGGGGAAUAUUGCGCAAUGGGCGGAAGCCUGACGCAGCCAUACCGCGUGUGUGAAGGGGGCUCUAGGGUCGUAAAGCACUUUAAGUAGGGGGGAAGGCCUAAAGUUUAAUACGCUUUAGGAUUGACGUUACCUACAGAAUAAGCACCGGCUAACUCCGUGCCAGCAGCCGCGGUAAUACGGAGGGUGCAAGCGUUAAUCGGAAUUACUGGGCGUAAAGCGCGCGUAGGCGGUUUGUUAAGCGAGAUGUGAAAGCCCUGGGCUCAACCUGGGAACUGCAUUUCGAACUGGCAGGCUAGAGUACAAGAGAGGGUGGUAGAAUUUCCUGUGUAGCGGCGAAAUGCGUAGAUAUAGGAAGGAAUACCAGUGGCGAAGGCGGCCACCUGGCUUGAUACUGACGCUGAGGUGCGAAAGCGUGGGGAGCGAACAGGAUUAGAUACCCUGGUAGUCCACGCCGA
rnacentral:rRNA from 1 species